AACGAACGCUGGCGGCAUGCCUAACACAUGCAAGUCGAACGAGACCUUCGGGUCUAGUGGCGCACGGGUGCGUAACGCGUGGGAACCUGCCCUUAGGUUCGGAAUAACUCCCCGAAAGGGGUGCUAAUACCGGAUAAUGUCUUCGGACCAAAGAUUUAUCGCCUUUGGAUGGGCCCGCGUUGGAUUAGCUAGUUGGUAGGGUAAAAGCCUACCAAGGCGACGAUCCAUAGCUGGUCUGAGAGGAUGAUCAGCCACACUGGGACUGAGACACGGCCCAGACUCCUACGGGAGGCAGCAGUGGGGAAUAUUGGGCAAUGGGCGAAAGCCUGAUCCAGCAAUGCCGCGGGAGUGAUGAAGGCCUUAGGGUUGUAAAGCUCUUUUACCCGGGAUGAUAAUGACAGUACCGGGAGAAUAAGCUCCGGCUAACUCCGUG
rnacentral:rRNA from 1 species